CUUUUUUCCUUCACUUCACUGUGAUGAUACUUCGUUCUGAAAAAGGGAAGGGGAGGUUGCACUUGCGAAAACACCUGCGCCCUUCAACUUCCAACUCAAAUUUUUACUUUAUCUUUUUUAUUUUAUUGUUUUUGCUAUCAUGACAUCAUUAAAGGUUAAAAAAAGAAAAAAA
rnacentral:ribozyme from 1 species